rnacentral:tRNA from 1 species
ACUUUUAAAGGAAGAUAGCUUUCCAUUGGUUUUAGGAACCAAAAGUCUUGGUGCAACUCCAAGUAAAAGUA